UCCCUCUCCAUCUCCACGAAAGAAAUUCCUUCUCUCCAUAACUCGUUUCGGUCAGCCACACAAAAACGCACAUACUUCUCAUCGGCUGAGGGCGACCCACGAAAGUUGACGACGACCACGAAAGUUGAGGGUCAGCCAUACAGAAGUUCUUCAGUGACCCACACCAACUUGUACCGCCCACGCGAAUGACUGUUGGUGACCGACGACAAACGACGGUAGGUGUUCCACGACGGUCGGAUGUGUUACCAAUCGCUCCCUUCGUAGAUAUAUGGCCGAUCCAUCAAUACUGAAAGCCCUAAUUUUUUAUUGGGGUGGAUUUGAUAGCAAUGCGUAUUCCUUUCCCCACAUUGAGCGGUGGCAGAAGAAAUUGAGGGUACAUAAGAAGAUUUCUCUGAUUCGUAUACCUCAUCUCUCUUUUCCUCUUUUUGCUUUCUUCUCUUUCCAAUUUCCGAGUAUCUGUGAAAUAGGAAUAGUUGGUGAAUUUUUUUUCGCUCCUCUUUUUUGUGUGGUGCUAUUUUUUUUUUUUUUUAUUGUUAGUGCAUUUCUGGUUCUUGUUUUUCUAUUUUGCUAGAAGUUGAAAUCAAUGUUGUUUGUAAGGAUGAUAAGCUUCAGAAGGAGAGAGUUAGUUCCUUGCGUGGAGUAAAACUAACAUUGUUGGUAGAAUUAUAAGCCAGGUUUAUUUCAUAUGUAUGUUUAUGUAGUCUCUUUAAUUUAUGUCUUUUAAAUUCCUUUGUUAUCAGAUCAAACAAGGUUAAGGUUCUUCUGUGUAUUUUCUUGGGUAUAUAUUGCAGAGAACAAAUUUAAUUUCUUUAUAUCGUUUAUUUAUUGUGUUUUUAUCUGUACUUCCAACAUAGUGUAAUUGAUGGUUAAGUCAUUUUUGUCAUUCCAAUUUUCACUGUAGUAAUAACAGUGAUUUUAAUGUUUAUAAGAUAUAUGAUAUCUGGUAUGUAAGUUACGUUCUCAACAUUGGAGUUGUUAAGACGAGGCAUGACAGUGAAAACUGGGGUAUGUACUUAGUUAUAGUUGAUAAUUUUUUUUCAACUGAGACCUAGGUACGUAAACAUCAAUUUUGCUAGAAUUAGAAAUGAAAAUUUGGUUUUUGAUUCCACUUUACUCAUUCAUUGAGGAAGAAGCUAGUCAUGUUGAGGGAUUUAGUUGGAACUAUCUUUUUCUUGUGUGUGUUUGUCUGUUGAGUAUAAGUUUUGGUAUAAAAGAGGUAUUUUAACUUUUGUAUUCUUCUUCCUUUGUAUGCUGUCAACUGCGUUGAAGUAGUAAGGCAAGUUUUUCACGGCGCAGGAAACAAAUAAGAGCCACCAGAAUCUUUUUCCAAAAUUAUUUAUUGAUUUUAUCACAUGUGAAUGUAUAUAUGAUCAUAUGUACUCUUAACUUUUUUUAUAGCCACGUAGUUCCCUUUAACUUCUCCUAUAAAUAUGUGCACCAAUGAAGAGGCUUAAAAUCCACCAUAAGAGAAAAAAAAAAACAAGAAAAUAUUCGAUUCAAUUCAAUUAGGUACGAGAUUAAAAGAAAGAUAAUGAAUAGUAGUUGUCUGCAGAAUUGGCCAGAGCCGGAGGUGUGCGUGUGCAGUCGCUGGCAGAGAGUGGAAUAAAAUGAUUUCUUGCCAAGAACUGCCACAUCCGUCAAUCUUUUGGUAUGUGUCACUUUUGAGCUAACUUUUUUGGAUCUAUAACUAUUCCAUUAUUGUUGAUGGGUCCAAGGUUUUUUUGCAUUCUCAUCAUUGUUUGCAACUGGAUGCGAAAAAAGUAGUAAUUUUGACAAGUUGCUAUUUCAUUUUUUGUUUAAACAUGGACAUCCCUUACGAGUUACUUACAGCAUCAAACGUGUAAGAUUUAUGAUCGUGAACAUAGGGAAGAAUGAUUGAAGUCAUAUUAGAUUGAAAGCUAAGUGAUUGUGUAGAUAGCGAGGUGAUCAUUGAAGGUUGAAAGCCAGGUGAUCAUUGAAGGUUGAAGGUUGAAGGUUGAAGACUGAUAAUGCGUUCAAGAUUUCUUAUUUAAGUCUUGAAUUUGGAUCUUGUUUCAUGUACUCUUGUAAAAUAUAUACAUAAACACAAUAUUAAGAUUUCAUUUUGUGUAUGCACAUGUAAAAGAUAAA